ensembl:lncRNA
GAAUUAGAAUCCACUGAGAUUAGCUGUCAGUCAUUGAGAGGCUGAGCUGCAGAGGAUAAAAAUCCAGCCCAGAGAUGCAGAAAUGCAGCCCUUGAAAGGCAGAGGCACAAAGGACUGAGAGCCAAGCUCACUAGGCAUAGAGAAAGGCAGCAGCCACAGUGACCUGAAGCUGAGUCAGAGAUCUUUCCAAAUAGGAGCUCAAGUGCUGAGGAUCCCAUCCAGAAUACCACAUUACAUUUAGUCAUCAAGUUAUCCUUAGGCUGCUAUAAGCUGUGAUAGAUUCUCAGACUUUCCUUGUUUUUGAUGAUACAUUUUGAAAGUUUGUGGACUACUGGUCAGAUAUUUUGAAGAAUGUCCCUCUAUUAGGAUGUCUGAUGUCUUUCUCAUAGUCAGACUGGAGUUGUGCUCUCUUGGGAGAAAGAUUACAGAGGUGCUGCUGCGAUCAGGAUGUUGGAGUUUGUGAGUACCUCCGCUGCUGCUACCAAGCUCUGAGCCAAGGCCAGGGUUCCCAGGAUCACAGGGCUCUGCCUCUGCUGCUGCUCUGCUUCUUGUGACCACAGGUGCUGCUGCUGGUGCCACUGCCGCUGUGGAUAAAUGAGUUGUCCUCAUUGAUGUUCCUGCCUAUCGUAGAGAAUUGAAAGCCCAGCUGAGAUCAAUUACAAGCAAUAUUACUACCUUGGCAGGAGAUGUCAAGACUCACAUUCCUGGUCAGAUGCUGGAUAUGUGUAUGCUGAACGACAGUCAAAGAAACAGGACAUUUCCAAUCAUCUUUAGAAAUGGGAGAAAGUCAUGAAGUUCUAAAAGCUUUGUUUCCAUGAAACCUACGAACAGUGCAGAUAAAGUAUAUUUUGUGUGCAUAUGCAUAUAUAUGUACGCGUGUGUGUAUAAUCUCCCUGAAUUUCUGAAUAAUGCUAUCCUCAAGCUCCAAGAGAAUAGAAGAGAUCCAUGCAUUCUGAGCCCAAUAUAGUAUAAUUCCAUUUACCCAGAAUCCAAAACACCAAAAUAAUGAAAUAACCAGAAUUUCGUUUACAAGUGUAUAGAACAAUUGUUGCUGUUCAUAACAAUAACCUGUUAGGUAUUCAGAUACAUUCUAAAAUAAAACAAACAGGCAUUCCCAUUUUAGUUUCAGAAAAGUAUAUUUUAUGAUAUUAAAAUUCUUAUGUUUAUAUAUUUACUAUUCAUUAAUGGUAUAUAACAGUUAAACACAAGAGUUAACCAUCUGGAAUACUCUGUGACUCAUUAUUUUCUAUCAACUCCAUUUUUUGAUUCCAAAAGGAAUACAUUUACUUGAUUUCUUUGAGAUUGGUUUGUGUGAUAAGCCUCCAGAAAAAAAGUGAAUCUUUGGAUUUGGUGAAUUAGGAUUCUCUAGUGAAUGAACACAAAUAACAAGGGUAAUUUAGGCAAAAUCAGUGUUUUCUUUUAUGUUUAUAUAAAUAUAUCAUAGAUUGCAAAGUCAAAUUUCUCACCAAAAAUAAGGCGUCUGUACUUGAGACAUUAAUGCCUGAGCCUGAAUAGUAACCUUGAAUCAGCAUGGCAACCUAUUGGGAGUUUCAGUUAAGCCUGGCUAAUCUAAAAGUGUAAAUGACUUGGGUCCUUAUUCUCAAUUAGGAAGUAGGAACAUGUGACUCUUUCCAAAGAGGUUUUUGAGUUAUUUCCUAAUGGGAUUUUCUUGUGGAGGAGUUAUACUGCAUGGUCAUAGCCCAGCUUCAAGACACGUCAGUUGUGUGAUUAUGAUGUGGAGGAAUGCAUGGUGAUCUCAAGCUCCUUGGGAAAGGAUAUAAGUAGGAGUGUGUACAAAUUGUCCUUCCCUAGGCUCACCUUGCAUAAACGCAAUGAUGAAACAAAAAUAAUAACAUGAAAAUAUUUCCUCUAGAGUCACCUUUUGGUUGCUGCUUCAGGGAUAUUGGUAUUACCCUCAUCAUAGAAGAUGCUCCUCACUUUCUUUCAAAUUUUAAUAGACAUCAUGCUCCUUGUCCAACCAAAGUCUUCUCUUCCAUAGGGUAAAUGGCCAUAGUUCCUUUGACAAUUCCUUGGUUUCUUUAUUUUUAAGCAUCCGUUUGGACUUCCUCUGGAUCUUUUUCCAUAAAACUGAUGUUCAGAGUUGGACACAAUCCUAAUACGUAAUUUGACCAAAGUAUUGUACGCAGCAUUACUUGAUCUCUACGGUAUAUUUUUCCCCCAAAGAAGCUUAGGAUAUUUUAUUAGUUAUCUGUCCUCUAUUGGUCUGUGGCUGGCUCAGAGAGGAAACCUUAAAGAGACUGUUUUAAUUCCAAUAUUAUAGUAUCUUCUUCAGUCUCCCUAAAAGUUCACUCUGUCCCAUCAGCUAACAAAAGAUUGAGGAAAGAUGAUCCACAGGCUUGUCUCUUCCUUUAACAUUCCAUGAUUUAUAGCAACAUCACAGACAAUACUUCUGGGAGUUAAAAAUUACUGAAAAUAUACCUGUUUUCAAACUGGGUCCUUAUCUAGCUGAACUGAAAAAUAGCUUAAAUCUUCUUAAGCAAAUAAUUGCAAAAAUAGAAGACAGAAAAAGGGACCGAUGGUAUGUAGAUGUCUGGGCAAUCAACUGUAUUCCACCUUGGGGUGAAAUAGGUAGCUCUCUGGUUCUCAAACCUGUGUACAUAUUAGAACCAUCUGAGGAGCUGUUAAAAAUAAUGACUGUAAUAUUUUUUUAAAUGUUAACAGUUUUAUUGAGGUAUAAUUGAUGUAAAUAAAUUGCACAUAUUUAAAAUAUAUAGUUUGACAGUCUUAACAUAUAUUUAUAAUGGUGAAACCACCACCAAAAUUAACAUCAUGAGUAUAUCCACCUAGCCAAAAAAUUUCCCUAGUACCCCUUUGUAAUCCUCACCCUUAAACCUUCACAGGCAACCAUUGACCCACUUUCUGCCAUUACAGAAUAUUUUGCAUUUUCUAGAGUUUUAAAUAAAUGAAAUAAUGCGGUAUUUAUGCUUUUUAUGUCUUCUUUCCCUAAGCAUAAUUAUUUUGAGAUUCCUCUAUGUUGUAACCUACGUUUACAGUUUGUUAAUUUUUAUUGCUGAGUAGUAUUCCAUUGUAUGCAUUUCAAAGUUUGUUUAUCCACUCACUGCACAUUUGUUUCCAGGUUUUGGAUUACAAAUAAAGCUAUAUGAAUAUUUGUGUACAAGUCUCUGUAUGAACAUAUACUUUCGUUACUCUUUGAUAAAAACUUAGGAGUGAAAUGGCUGAACCAUAUGGAAGGAAUAUGUUUAACUUUUUAAGAUAUGUAAAGCUUCUUGUUUCUGCACCAUUUCCUGAAAAGACUAUCCUUUCUCCAAUGAAUUGACAAAGCAUGUUUGUCAAAAUUAAGUUGUCUGUAUAUGUGUGAGUUUAUAUCUGAACUCUAUUCUGUUUUAUGUCAAUCAGAUAUUGUCUUAAUUACAGUAGCCUUGUAAGACUUGAAAUAAAAU